CCUACGGGUGGCUGCAGUGGGGAAUAUUGGGCAAUGGGCGCAAGCCUGACCCAGCAACGCCGCGUGAAGGAAGACGGCUUUCGGGUUGGUAACCUCUUUUCUCAGGGACGAAGCAAGUGACGGUACCUGAGGAAUAAGCCACGGCUAACUACGUGCCAGCAGCCGCGGGAAUACGUGGGUGGCAAGGGUUAUCCGGAUUUACGGGGUGUAAAGGGCGUGUAGGCGGGACUGCAAGGCAGAUGUGAAAACCACGGGCUCAACCUGCUGCCUGCAUUUGAAACUGUAGUUCUUGAGUACUGGAGAAGCAGACGGAAUGCCUGGUGUAGCGGUGAAAUGCGUAGAUAUUAGGCAGAACACCAGUGGCGAAGGCAGUCUGCCGG
rnacentral:rRNA from 1 species